UCCCUGGAUAGCUCAGUUGGUCAGAGUGUGGUGUUGAUAACGCCAGGGUUGCAGGUUUGAUCCCUGAAUGGGAU
rnacentral:tRNA from 1 species